rnacentral:rRNA from 1 species
CCUACGGGAGGCAGCAGUGGGGAAUAUUGGACAAUGGGCGAAAGCCUGAUCCAGCCAUGCCGCGUGUGUGAAGAAGGUCUUCGGAUUGUAAAGCACUUUAAGUUGGGAGGAAGGGUUGUAGAUUAAUACUCUGCAAUUUUGACGUUACCGACAGAAUAAGCACCGGCUAACUCUGUGCCAGCAGCCGCGGUAAUACAGAGGGUGCAAGCGUUAAUCGGAAUUACUGGGCGUAAAGCGCGCGUAGGUGGUUAGUUAAGUUGGAUGUGAAAUCCCCGGGCUCAACCUGGGAACUGCAUUCAAAACUGACUGACUAGAGUAUGGUAGAGGGUGGUGGAAUUUCCUGUGUAGCGGUGAAAUGCGUAGAUAUAGGAAGGAACACCAGUGGCGAAGGCGACCACCUGGACUGAUACUGACACUGAGGUGCGAAAGCGUGGGGAGCAAACAGGAUUAGAUACCCUAGUAGUC